AAAGAAGAAUCUAGUGAAAGCACUGGAGUCUAUAUAAAGAGUUCAUGAGGGAAAAUGUUGGGCUUUUACAGCUGUAGAGCAGCCAAUGGAGCGAUAAGUGUGGAUGAUAAGAGCAGGUCUGGAAACGAAGAAGCAAAUGGUGUGAUGUGACGCUAACCAGAGACACAACAGCUAUUAUUGAAGAAACUGUUCCUCCAGACUUUUCCAUCUUGCGGACGAGGAUUGCUUGAGGAGAACAGGCAAACCUAUUAAAGGGGCUUUCGUUCUGACAAUAAAGUCAAUCACAGCAGUCAUUGUUGCUUAAGGACACACACAGAGGGACCCCGAGCAUCGUUAUAAAAUGAGUGUGUGUGAAGUGUCUGAGGCGCCGUGAGUGUGUUUUAAUUGCACACAGAUCACCGGGAUGAAUGAAUGAUGGAGGGGCGGAUGAGGAUGGAUGAACGGGUACUGGAGGCUGAUAAGAUGUUGCCGUGGCAACCGUAUCCGCGUUACCUCUCGGUUAAAGCAAGUGCUGCGGGGAUUAGAAAAGCAAAGCAAGAAAGUGUUAUCUCAGAUGUUUUCAAACAAAGCUUCACAUCUUGAACUCUAGACGUGGCACCAGAACAGAGAACUCUUACAGCAUUGUAGAAGCACAAAUGGAGAACAUUCGUGAAACACACUGGAGCCGAGCAAGACUUCUGCAUGUACCUGUGAUGGAGAAGCACUCAUGUGUGCCAGUAAAAUGUCAGCACUGCGCCUGUUCACGGGGAAAUGGAAGUGAAGGGUCUUUUAAGAGGGUUUGUGUGCCUAGAAAAGGGAUAAUUGUCAUUGUGCAGGUCUACAUUACUCCACCAUUAAUAGUCUUAAUGAUCCGCAGGCUGACAGCGAGGAGAUGCCAUUGUGUGGAUUCUCCAAAGAAGAAAAGAGCCCCUGAAACACUCUGAGCUGAUGCUGAAGUAGAUCGCCUUUUUUGCUUUAGAUUCAGUGUACAAAGACCUGGCCUUGAGUUUUCUUCCAUUCUCCCUUGACGGUAUUGAUGAGUGCAUGUGGAGAUUCACUGCAGUCAUUUCUCACAGUGUGUGCUGAAUAGACGAGCUCAACCCUUCAAACCAAAGACGGUUUCAACAUUGAACCUGCAUGUUUGACUCAAAAGUAAAGUCAAGUUUUAUUUCCACCAUUGCACCACAGGAAUACUAAAACAAACUCCAUUCCACUGCAAAACGAUAAGCAUUUA